GUGCUCACUUUGGCAGCACAUGUACUAACAUUGGAAUGAUACAGAGAUAAGUAUGGUCCCUUUUGCAAGGAUGACAGGCAAAUUCAUGAAAUGUUUCAUAGUUUU
ensembl:snRNA U6 U6 spliceosomal RNA